AACGCGAAGAACCUUACCAAAUCUUGACAUCCUUUGAAAACUCUAGAGAUAGAGCCUUCCCCUUCGGGGGACAAAGUGACAGGUGGUGCAUGGUUGUCGUCAGCUCGUGUUGUGAAAUGUUGGGUUAAGUCCCGCAACGAGCGCAACCCUUAUCCUUUGUUGCCAGCGGUUAGGCCGGGAACUCAAAGGAGACUGCCAGUGAUAAACUGGAGGAAGGUGGGGAUGACGUCAAGUCAUCAUGGCCCUUACGACCAGGGCUACACACGUGCUACAAUGACAUAUACAAAGAGAAGCGACCUCGCGAGAGCAAGCGGACCUCAUAAAGUAUGUCGUAGUCCGGAUUGGAGUCUGCAACUCGACUCCAUGAAGUCGGAAUCGCUAGUAAUCGUAGAUCAGAAUGCUACGGUGAAUACGUUCCCGGGUCUUGUACACACCG
rnacentral:rRNA from 2 species